GCUGUGAUGGCCGAGUGGUUAAGUAUGGGCGUUGGACUUGAAAUCCAAAUGGGUUAUUCCCGCGCAGGUUCGAAUCCUGUUCACAGCG